UUGGAUUCUUCAUCAAAUUGAAUUUUGAUCGUUGAUCAGCACUCAGAAUCUUCUAUUCACAGUCGGGAUCACUAUCAGCCAUUGGAUUGUGCAUUAGAUCAAAUUUCGAUCAUCGGAUGGUGCACAUGAUCACUUUUGGUUUAGUUUUCAGCCGGCAACCAACCACAGCCAUUGGAUCUCAUUCAGAAACCAUUACCAGCCAUUGGAUCAUGCAAAGAAGUGGGCCACCAUCGAGC
rnacentral:lncRNA from 1 species